AAAUUGAAGAGUUUGAUCAUGGCUCAGAUUGAACGCUGGCGGCAGGCCUAACACAUGCAAGUCGAGCGGCAGCGGGAAAGUAGCUUGCUACUUUUGCCGGCGAGCGGCGGACGGGUGAGUAAUGCCUGGGGAUCUGCCCAGUCGAGGGGGAUAACUACUGGAAACGGUAGCUAAUACCGCAUACGCCCUACGGGGGAAAGCAGGGGACCUUCGGGCCUUGCGCGAUUGGAUGAACCCAGGUGGGAUUAGCUAGUUGGUGAGGUAAUGGCUCACCAAGGCGACGAUCCCUAGCUGGUCUGAGAGGAUGAUCAGCCACACUGGAACUGAGACACGGUCCAGACUCCUACGGGAGGCAGCAGUGGGGAAUAUUGCACAAUGGGGGAAACCCUGAUGCAGCCAUGCCGCGUGUGUGAAGAAGGCCUUCGGGUUGUAAAGCACUUUCAGCGAGGAGGA
rnacentral:rRNA from 1 species